rnacentral:rRNA from 1 species
UUGGAGGGCAAGUCUGGUGCCAGCAGCCGCGGUAAUUCCAGCUCCAAUAGCGUAUAUUAAAGUUGUUGCAGUUAAAAAGCUCGUAGUUGAAUUUCGGGGUCAGUAGGUUGGUCAUGCCACUGGUAUGUACUGGUCUUACCGAUUCCUCCUUCCUGAUGAGCUGUAAUGCCAUUAAUUUGGUGUUGCGGGGAAUCUGGACUGUUACUUUGAAAAAAUUAGAGUGUUUAAAGCAGGCUAACGCCUGAAUACAUUAGCAUGGAAUAAUGAAAUAGGACGUUCGAUCCCAUUUUGUUGGUUUCUAGGAUUGACGUAAUGAUUAAUAGGGAUAGUUGGGGGCAUUAGUAUUCAAUUGUCAGAGGUGAAAUUCUUGGAUUUAUUGAAGACUAACUACUGCGAAAGCAUUUGCCAAGGAUGUUUUCAUUAAUCAAGAACGAAAGUUAGGGGAUCGAAGACGAUCAGAUACCGUCGUAGUCUUAACCAUAAACUAUGCCGACUAGGGAUCGGAUGAUGUUAAUUUUUUAAUGACUCAUUCGGCGCCUUACGGGAAAC